rnacentral:SRP_RNA from 1 species
GCCAGGCACGGUGGCGCGUGCCUGUAAUCCCAGCUACUUGGGAGGCUGAGGUGGGAGGAUCACUUGAGCCCAGGAGUUCUGGGAUGUAGUGCGCUGUGCCGAUUGGGUGUCUGCACUAAGUCCAGCAUCAGUACGGUGACUUCCCAGGAGCAGGGGACCACCAGGUUGCCUAAGGAGGGGUAAACCAGCCCAGGUCGGAAACGGAGCAGGUCAAAACUCCUGUGCUGAUCAGUAGCGGGAUGGUGCCUGAGAAUAGCCACUGCACUCCAGCGUUAAGAAACUCCGUCUCU